GACGAACGCUGGCGGCGUGCUUAACACAUGCAAGUCGAGCGGAGCGGCGAACGGGUGAGUAACGCGUGAGUAACUGCCCCCCUCUCUGGGAUAACAGUUGGAAACGGCUGCUAAUACCGGAUAGUGGGGGAUGACUCGCGUCCUAUCAGCUUGGUGAUGGGGUAGUGGCCUACCAAGGCGACGAAGGGUAGCCGGCCUGAGAGGGCGACCGGCCACGAUGGGCAGAGCGACGGCCCAUACUCCUACGGGAGGCAACAGUGAGGAAUAUAGCACAAUGGGGGAAACCCUGAUGCAGCGUACCCCGUGCGGUAUGACGGCCUUCGGGUUGUAAACCGCAUACAGCCAAAACGCGGGAGGGGCAAAAGGAGCACCGGCUAACUACGUGCCAACAGCCGGGGUGAUAC
rnacentral:rRNA from 1 species